AUAACAUCAUAAGUCUAUUGUGUGAACAUCGAUAGCUCAUUGGAAUUUGACCCUUAAGUGCUAACGACGAUCUCUUAUUGGAGGGAGUAAGCUUAAGGCAAUUUGAGCAAUAUCAAAUUUGGCGCCGUUAGCGAAGUUCUCUUUUAGUUUACCAUUAGACUAGGUGUCCUUUUAAGUCUAGAUACUUCUUUUCUAUCACCUACUCACGUGUUUCAUGUACCUUCAGAUUGAUAAUCACGUUUCCAUGGCAGACUUUCACGGCUGUGUCGACCAACACCACUGCAGAACUAGACGGCUACAAUAGGCGAUUUUAACAGAACUGAUCUCUUAUACACCAACCGAUCAGCAUUUAAGCUACCUCCAUUUGAAAGAGAAGACUUUGCUAUACACCCUGCCUAUUAUGAUCUUGUAUCUAGAGGAAAGUUUAGAGGAUCUCCUGAUGAAACACCAUUAGAUCAUUUGGAAGUCUUCGAAGACAUAGUUUCCUCUAUCAAAGUAGAAGCUGAAGAAAGUAGAUGCAUUCUUUGUACCAGCUGAUUACCUUCUUUGCAAACUCUUCCCCCACUCCUUCGCGAGCAGAGGAACAUCAUGGUUGCGUCAACUGGAACCAGCUUUUAACCAAUUGGACUGAUACAAAGAAUGCAUCCAUGAAACACUUGUUUGCAAAUCUCUUCGUUCACUCAGGCUCUAGCCGAGUCCCUUAGUGCAUCUUGGCUACUGAUAGUAUGUUUUUAGUCAAUUAUCCUAAAACACCAAUCAUGUCAUUGUAGUAUUUUAGGUUGUCAAUCCAAAUGGGUGUGAUGCUAACAAUCAAGAUGUGAUCAGAAGUCACUAAGUCAAGCCAAGCAUAACAGGUUUUGGUGUGUUCUAGCAGUCCUAAGUGAACAUGUAAAAAACAGAAAAUCAAACAGAAACAGUAAAACGCUCGACCAACACAGCUCUUUGCAGAGCACUGGGUGAGGUCGAGUGACAGGUCGAGUAACAGACAGAAGAUGAAACAGGGAUACUCGACUGCACAGUCUGUUGCCAGACAACAGGGUGGUCGAGUAUCAGGUCGAGUAACCGUAAAGAAUUGUAGAAACUAAGCAACAGAUGACAGGAUGCAGUACACAGUAGUAGAGUAAACAAUAAAAUCAAUCAGAUAAAGAAUUCUCAGUAUGCUAGGUGAUUGAGUAUUGAUUGAUAGAGCCCUUCUGGAUUAGUUGUUCUUAAUGCCUAUUGCUUUCUGAUCAACUGGAAUUUGAGCCCAGACAUUUCCGCGCCCAAAAAGUGUUCGAUGAAAUGUCUGAACCACUAAUUCCAGAGAUUCGUGACCCUGUACCUGUUGAUUCGUAAUGCCUGUUAGGUUAGCUCUCGUCAAUGGUGAUUGAGUCUGGGACUAGGUUAACUUGAGAGUCUCUAUUGCGGUGGCACUUAGAUUUGGUUAAUGAACUUGUUGUCUAGGGUUAAGGAAACGAAACUACUCAAUUACCCCAUCCUCGGGAAUUCUUUAUCUGAUUGAAUUCUUUGUUUACUCUACUGUUGUUUACUGCAUCUUGUUAUCUGUCGCUUAAUUUCUGCAGUUCUUUUUUGUUACUUGACCUCAUACUCGACCACCCAGUUGUCUGGCAACAGACUAUGCAGUCGAGUAUCUGAGUUUUAUUUUCUGUCUAUUACUCGACCUGUCACUCGACCUCACCCAGUGCUCUACAAAGAGCUGUGUUGGUCGAGUGUUUUGCUGUUUUUGCUUGAAUUUCUGUUUUCUGCAUGUUCACUUAGAACUGCUAGAACACACCACAACCUGUUAUUGCUUGGCUUGACUUAGUGACUUCUAAUCACAUCUUGAUUGUUAGCAUCACACCCAUUUGGAUUGACAACCUUCAGUAUUACAACGACAUGAUAGUGCUUUAGGUUUAAUUGACUU
rnacentral:sRNA from 1 species